rnacentral:rRNA from 1 species
UACGUAGGGAGCAAGCGUUGUUCGGAUUUACUGGGCGUAAAGGGCGCGUAGGCGGCGCGGUAAGUCACUUGUGAAAUCUCUGAGCUUAACUCAGAACGGCCAAGUGAUACUGCAGUGCUAGAGUGUAGAAGGGGCAAUCGGAAUUCUUGGUGUAGCGGUGAAAUGCGUAGAUAUCAAGAGGAACACCUGAGGUGAAGACGGGUUGCUGGUCUAACACUGACGCUGAUGCGCGAAAGCCAGGGGAGCAAACGGG